rnacentral:lncRNA from 1 species
CACCCGUAUCUGAUUGCGUGCUCUGCCUGUCAAUGGAAGCAGGGGAUCUACGGCUAAUUCCAAACCCUUCUGGCAUAGAUUUUUGUCUGUAUGUGCUCCCAGCAGAGCCUGUCUCACUUGAGGUUGAUAAGUUGCUUGGAGAAUUGCGACACUGUUGUGACCGUGCUAAUGCAAUGGACGACACCGUCACGUAGACAUCAGAACCAGGAGACAACCUCCGGCUCUCCAACGGGCGUCCAUCACUAGAGAUGCUUCGGGGGAUGUUGGCUGCUCGUUCUGGGGGUGGCAUUUUCCCUUCUCCUUUCCCUGAGCCAAUCCUAGAUGGCACUGGACUUUGAACUUGGGAUGGUACCUGAGCCACAUGAGGUCCCUGUCCUUUGUUUGCAUUUCGCUGCCAUUUG